AUGGCUUCCGCUACUGCUUCCGUCUCGUCGCACUCCAGCGCCCUGCGCGAUCUCAAAGCCGCGAGGAUUGGAGCCGUGAGGCAGCAGGUGGCCGUGGUUCCAGCGGGCCUGCCGGCAAAGGCGCCCAAGGGCCAGCGCGCGAGGGCGGUGCGCCCGCUGUGCGCGGCGGAGCCAGCGAGGAAGCCAGUGUCGGCCUCCGCGGCCUCGUCGCCGGUGGCGCCGGUGGAGGAGGAGGAGGCAUCUGCCGUGGACUACGAGGCCCUGGCGCAGGAGCUGGUGGGCGCGUCGCCGCUGGAGAUCAUGGAUCGUGCGCUCGACAUGUUCGGCUCCGAAAUCGCCAUCGCCUUCAGUGGUGCCGAGGACGUGGCCCUCAUCGAAUACGCGAAACUGACUGGACGCCCCUUCAGCGUGUUCAGCCUUGACACUGGGCGGCUGAACCCAGAGACAUACGAACUCUUCGAUAAGGUGGAGAAGCACUACGGUAUCCACAUCGAGUACAUGUUCCCUGAGGCCAGCGAGGUGCAAGACCUUGUGAGGAGCAAGGGCCUCUUCUCUUUCUACGAGGACGGCCACCAGGAGUGCUGCAGGGUGAGGAAGGUUCGGCCCUUGAGGAGGGCCCUCAAGGGCCUCAAGGCCUGGAUCACCGGGCAGAGGAAGGACCAGUCCCCUGGCACCAGGGCCAGCAUCCCUGUUGUUCAGGUUGAUCCGUCUUUUGAAGGGCUGCACGGUGGAGCCGGUAGCUUGAUCAAGUGGAACCCUGUGGCUAAUGUCGAUGGCAAGGAUAUCUGGACCUUCCUCAGGACCAUGGAUGUCCCUGUGAACACCCUGCAUGCUCAAGGCUACGUCUCCAUUGGGUGCGAGCCGUGCACCAGGCCCGUGUUGCCGGGGCAGCACGAGAGGGAAGGGAGGUGGUGGUGGGAGGACGCCACGGCCAAGGAGUGCGGCCUCCACAAGGGUAACAUCGACAGGGAAGAUCAGGCACCCAAGGUCGGCGUUAACGGCAAUGGCUCGGCCGAGGCCCGCGCCCCAGACAUCUUCCAGAGCCAGGCCAUCGUCAACCUCACCCGUCCCGGGAUCGAGAACCUCCUGCGGCUCGAGAACCGCGCCGAGCCGUGGCUCACCGUCCUCUACGCUCCCUGGUGCCCAUACUGCCAGGCGAUGGAGGCGUCCUACGUUGAGCUGGCCGAGAAGCUGAGCGGCUCAGGCAUCAAGGUGGCCAAGUUCCGCGCAGACGGCGAGCAGAAGCCAUUCGCGCAGGCGGAGCUGCAGCUACAGAGCUUCCCGACGAUCCUCCUCUUCCCCGGCCGCACCGUGAAGCCUAUCAAGUACCCGUCCGAGAAGAGGGACGUCCAAUCCCUCCUCGCCUUCGUGAACAGCCUCAGAUGA
rnacentral:rRNA from 1 species